UCCAUCCACCUGUUACUCAGAUACUGUAAGUAAAACAUAGUUUUACAUACAAAUUAAUGUAACUAGAUUAAUGCAGUUCAUCUCAUAACUGUAGUACUGCAGAGGAAUGGAACGAUGCAGCAAUCAGCAAACUCUGAAGAUGCCUAUUCUGCAGAGACCGAACGCACAGCGUUAGCCCAUGCCGCGCUAUGAAUGCCAAACAGCAGAACGAGCCCCUGGACCAGAGCGAUGAUAUUUCGGGGAGGAAUUCUUGCACGUUUUCCAGCCAUGGGGAUUCUCUGGAAUAACAAAAAAAACAACGCUAAGAGAAUUAGGAUAACAAGAAUUAGACACCGUCGGAGCAGAAUCAGAACGUGUCUAAAAUGAAGGGAGAAGUGUGGUAUCAAACAUGUUGGUCUGAUUUUGCAGUUCUGAUCAUCAUACUCUCUGCGUGCUCUGACUGGGAGGUAACACCCUUAUCUCUCUUCUUCCUCUAGAAGCAAAGUUUCUUCGUGACAGUGCAUAUGAAAUAGACAGCGACUAAAAUAAAAAGUCAAGCUUCCUUUAACGUCGUGCUUAAACGCGUUAAAAGAGUAAGACUGUUAGAGUGACCUGUAUCUAUGCAUAUGACGUAGCUUCGUAUGAUUGUGCAUGACAUCUUCUCCCCACACGGAAGAACAGCAAGGCGAUAACAACUCCAGAAAAAUCCCAGAUGCAUCUAAUCCCAAACCUAUCACAAAAAACUAGCCCCUGAAUUUGCCAUUUACAAACGCUACACCCAGCCUUUGCCUUAUUCUUAAUAAUGGUGCUUUUUGUAUCUUAGAUGAAAUUCCCACCUGAUUAUGAAGUAUCAAAAAAUACAGCCUGCACAGCUGUUAAACAAAGGAAUUCAGACAAACAGAAGGAAAACAAAAAUCCUCUGAAAAAGCAAUAUCCUUCUCUCCCUACGAAAUUUGUGAAGAGGGAAGAGUAACACAUGCAACUCCUAAUGUGGACAUCAGGUAUUUUAAAGUAUAUCUGGGAAGCCUCAAAAGCCAUUUUGAUGAUACUUUCUCUAGGUAAGUCUGAUAAAACAUAGCUAGAAGUGAUCAUUACGUACAGGUAAAUUAUGUAUUUUUCGCUUAUUUUCAAGAGAGAAUUAUUCCACUAAUAAAACACACAGAGAUGCUAAGCAAAGAUACUAUUAUUACAUUAUACUACUGGAGCACUAGAUAAAAGUUCUGUGUAAAGCCAUCAGCCACCAACUGUUACAGUUUCUUUUCCUUUAUUAGACAGAAACACACUUCUAUAUAGGGUACAAACACUGUAACUGUAGUUAUUUGAAAAAUGAAUUGCCAUAAUUUUCUGUGGAUUUUAACUAGAGAACUGUGGGCCUUCCUUGGUUGCAAACAAACUCUAAUUUAACCAAACUUUUAAGUCCCUAUAUCUUACAGAAUGGUGCAAUCUAACUCGGAAGUGACAGACUGCUUUGCAAAAUCUACCUGCAAGACAAGUGUCACGUGACCCUUGUCCGUAUGAACGACGAGUGCAUCUAUUAAGCCUUGGUAUCAGACUUUCGAAACACAGUAUUCUUUCAGCCAGCCAAACGGUGCCAUUACACUUGCUUCAUUCUUAAAAGUCAGCAAAUCAGUCAAUAAGCUUUUUCAUUUUUCAGUGAGGAGUAUCAGCAAGCCAAAGUAACGUGAAAUCCUGUAUCAUGGAUUAGGACAGGUUUAUAAGCCAAACCUCUGUAUUAACUCUUACAGAUUUUAAGGGUUUAAAAUUGUCUUCUGCACUUCUGUCACCACCUUAGCUAGUGACCUUAUAGCGACUUUCAAUUUUAUAUAUCAGACAUGCACCCGUUUCAGUUCCUCACUGAUUACACAGAUUACACAGUAAUCUGCACUACACUGUUGGACACACUGAUUCCCCUUUUUUCCAGAGAAAAUCGGUUUUUGGACUCUCUUUAGCAUCCAUGGCUUACCAAAAUUCCCAGACUAUCAGUGGGGUAAAAUAACACUACAGUAAAUUCUGCCCAUUCUUAAUCUCAUUGUAUCUUUCCAUUUUUUCUACCAGCCAAAUAUAUUUAAUUUGUGGCAAUGGAAAAAGACAGUAUUUUGCAUUCCUUUGUUUUCUUAAGAAAUAAAAACUGAUAUCCAUUUGGAGGAAAAAAAACCCAAAAAUAAAUAUGGGAGACUACAAUGUAUCAAGUGGCGCUACACACUUAUUGAACCAGGGUCUUAAUAUGAUUGUUCGUGUUUUUGAUCAUGAGUCUUGGAAUCCUCACAGUCCCAGUUAACUCCUCCAGGUUGCAUUCUGCUCUUCAGAAAUGAAUGGAUUCAUAGUCUAAUCUGAAGACAGGAAUUUUCUACUGAUUCAUAAGAGUAAGAAUUUAAAAUGUCAUCGUAAUAGGUAUAGGAGUAAAAUUCACAGUACAUUUGAACGUUUUAGCUGCUUUCCCACAGGGGGAAAAUAUACUUGCUGGAGCAGAAACAUUUUGUUCACAGACCACUCUUUCUCUUCAAAAUAAAUCAGCUAAAGAGAUCUCAAGCAAAGAAUCUGUCUGUGCAAACCCGGUCAUCCCUUUCAUUUAAACCUACUCAGCCACCUCUCUAUUUCAGGACCACGAUCAGAAUUUAUCCAAAUUGGCAUCGAAUGUACGGUGUGCUACUUCCCUGUAUCUCCUCAAGGAAAUAGUACUACUUGAGAUGACACAGAGCAGGGUAAGUAUGGAUAAAUGCUGACUUUACUGAGGACCGCUGUAGGUUAGUGAAAGGAGCUGUUAAUUGAAGAUUGAUGAAGCUCACUGUUAUUUUAAACAAGUCCUCAGUAACAGUUUGAAAUGAGCCUUGAAAUAAUUAGAAUAAGGAUUGCCACAGGAAGCAUGGAACUAAAAAUAUCAUCAAUUAUUUUACAGAAGAUUAAUCAAGUCCAGUGAAAUUGGUAGUAUUUGAAGUGAUAGUGACUGGUAAUUUUUUAAGUGAACAUAUGCAGACCAUAUAUGAAAAGCCUCUUUUUGAAGAGCCUCUCACAGUCAUACAAAACCUGCUUUUGAAUUUAAGUAGGCAUGUAAAUGGUCUGCAUUGAAGUGAAUUUCAUCCAAUCUCAGCAUAAAUGAUCAUUCUGUUAGCAGCUCUGAAAGGACAUCAGUAGGAAAAGCAGAGUGAUAGACCUCACUGCCAGCUUGGUGAACAAUACCAGUAUGCAUUUUCCAAACUAGGCAGGGAACAUAUAACACUGAUUGUGAAUUAAUACAAAGUAAACUAAUUGGGUAGGAACUGAAUGAUACAAUUCAGGACCCUCUUCUACUCAAUAUCAGGCUUCAUAAACAUGGCAUGAGCGCGUCUAACUGCAGAUAAAGAAUAUUUGAACUUUUAUUAAAUAGCUAUUCAAGAACAUCUUGAGAUGCUUCUUUUCGGAAAAAAAAAGGAUGACACUAAAAAUGGCUAAUUAUCAUGCUAAACAAAAAAGAGGAUCAGGAGAGAUGGAUAUAAAAUGCUUUAAAUGCUGUUAUUUUGGAUAAAAAAAGAAGCUACUUUUAACAUUUUAGAGGGAAUGUACAACACAUGGACUGGAUCCACAAAAAACAUGGAAAAUACAAUGCUGAAGGAGAGAUCACAGGCUGCGAACCACAUUUGCAUUUGCAUUGUGAUAUGAAAGUAAAGUAUUAACUAGCAUACUCAAAAAGUGUCGAGGGGCAGAUAGCUUGCACUACAUGCUUGUUCUAUAUAAAUUUGACUCGUUGAGAUAUCUCCAGAUAAGUGAACUGCAUCAGAGUAUUUUCUGGCUUGCCAUGGCUACUGAGACGUAACCCAACUAGCCUAAAAUGAGAUGCACCAGUCAAAUGAACUAGUAAAUUCCAUUCUGAUCAUCCCAUUACCAGAAACGCUUUGAUAAUCUUGAGUGAUUUCAGAGAAAAACAAGAGGAGUGAUUAGGCAGCUGCCAACAUAGACUGCAGAAGAGCUAUCGAGAGAGGUAAGUAAUGUUAAGUACUUGCUUAGCUGAGCAAUAUGUAGGGGAAUACAAUAACAACCUAUAACUAUCUGUUGGGCAUUAUCUCCACAGCAAAAGAGCAAAGUUUUUCCAUGCACAGUCAUACGUAGGAGCAACGAGAUGAAAAAUAGAAUAAGAAUUUCUAUUUGUGUAACAAGGAAUUCUUUUUCACGACGAAACGCUAUUUUGAGGUAACGGCUCACUUCUGCAAAACUAGCUUACAUCGAGCACAAGUAUGGACUAACCUUUGCCUCGCUCAGUAAGUGCAAUAGGUCAUUUUUACCUCUAUGUUCUACUGUACCUUCAUAUGAAAAUAAGGAAGUCAAAGAACCACAUCAAUGGUAAGAAUCAACAGAUAUGAGGGACCUCAGAGCAUGGCAGCAGUUCAAGAGAAAAUGGGGUUCUACUUGCCUUAAUAGGGGUUGAAAGGAGGCAGCAGUGGCAAAACCACAGUGAGAAUUCUGCAACCUGUCCAUUCAGGGAAUAGAGGUUUUAUGAGGAUAUCAAAGUAUUGACAAAUGUAGAAGGAGAACAAGGAGUAUAUAGGAAUUAAAAGAAAUAUUUAACGACAAAAGAACAAUGAAACACUUCAGAUCUGGAAAACAGGCAAUUUAGAGGGGAUAUAAUGGCAGUUUGUAAAUACAUGAAAAGACCUAGGGCAAGACAAAGCUUCCAGAAAGAGAAGGCAAAGAGAGGAACGGUGCAUGAACUUGCCCUGGACUUAACAGUAACUAUUACAAGGUUUCAACUUACGUGUUUGGUUUGGGGGGUUUCUAAAGCUCAUUGCUGUAACUGUGAUAUAGAAAUCUGUCAGAAGAUGAGGCAGCAAUGUAAAUAAGAUUAAGGCAAAACGUAGCCCUUUUUGCUUUAUGAUGAACAACAUAUUCAGAUAUAAAUGAGAGAUACGUGAGCACGUUUCACACAUGCCAAGUUCAAAAAUCUAAUUUAACGAAAGAGGAUGCCAGACGUGUCUUCCCUCCCGCACCCAAAAUCUGUGCACCAAAAGUUACAACAAGGGACUGAAUCAUGAUGACCUUAACAAACACCUUUUUCCUGGAUUUCCACAAUUCCAUUCUUUUUCAAACAUAUUUGAAAAGUGCAGCUGUUUGAGCAACAGAGUAGCACACAUUUCUCGUUGAAAGCUGUUUAACUUCAUGUCUUAUAUAAUGUUGAAAAAAAGAUGUUUGUUUUGCCUUUUUUUAAUUCUCCUCUCAUAUAUUACACUUGCAAGUAUACCAUGUAAAGAUCAUAAAGCACUGUGACUGCACAACUGCUCAUGGUGAGACUGGCAUGCUUCCUGCUAAAUAACGUCAUUUAUUCAUCUAUACCAUAUAUGCUUUUCUAUUACUCUCAGGUUUAAAUUCCAGGGAGACAGAUGCAGCAGGCACCUAGCAGACACAGAAGAGCAGCAGUUUGGCUAACUACAGAUAUAAUUCUGUAUACCUUAACUGAGCUACGUAAUAAUUAAAACAUAAGCAUGGAAGAAGGGACUACCCACCGGAACCUCUCAGCUGUUCAACAACAGAGCAGACAGGGGUCAGAAGAUGAAUCUGUGUGAGCUACUCAGCAUUCUGCAAUGGCUGAUCCUACAGAUACUUUUACCACAGUUUGGUUUUACAUCUAAAUAGCCCUGCUGAGUGAAAGCAACUACAAGCUUGGAUCCUUCUGGCAAUGACUUCCAUUUGACCAACUGCUCAAUGAAGAAAGCAUAUAUCUUUACAUAUUUAAACUUUGCAUCCCCUCAGUUUCACUGAAUCUUCAUGUACUGUUGUACUUGACAAAGAAGAACAACAUGUUUAUUUGAAAACAGAUUGUCCGCUUGUCUCAUUUUGUUCAUUUUUUCUCUAUCACAGCACUCAGGGUAAGAGACAGGGCUGAUUUAUAUGCUGUCAUCUGUUCCUUAUGUAGAUUAAUAUUGUGCAGAUAGGAUCUUGUUGUAGUUGUUUCUUGUUUUGCGGUGAGUGGGAUGUUUUGUUUGGAGGAUUUUUAAGGAGACAGGAAAGGCUGCCAAAACCUGAACGGAGAUCACAGGUUUUAUCGAGUUGUCCACAAUGGCUUGAUCUU